rnacentral:tRNA from 1 species
GCCAAUGUGGCCCUGUGGUUGGAGCGUUGGCCCUCACACCAAAGGGUCUCUGGUUCAAUUCCAGUCAAAGGCA